rnacentral:rRNA from 1 species
CGGACGGGUGGGUAAUGCCUGGGAAACUGCCUGAUGAGGGGGAUAACUGCUGGAAACGGUAGCUAAUACCGCAUAACGUCGCAAGACCAAAGAGGGGGACCUUCGGGCCUCUUGCCAUCGGAUGUGCCCAGAUGGGAUUAGCUAGUAGGUGGGGUAACGGCUCACCUAGGCGACGAUCCCUAGCUGGUCUGAGAGGAUGACCAGCCACACUGGAACUGAGACACGGUCCAG